GAUGAACGCUGGCGGCGUGCCUAAUACAUGCAAGUCGAGCGAAUGGAUUAAGAGCUUGCUCUUAUGAAGUUAGCGGCGGACGGGUGAGUAACACGUGGGUAACCUGCCCAUAAGACUGGGAUAACUCCGGGAAACCUGGGCUAAUACCGGAUAAUAUUUUGAACUGCAUGGUUCAAAAUUGAAAGGCGGCUUAGGCUGUCACUUAUGGAUGGACCCGCGUCGCAUUAGCUAGUUGGUGAGGUAACGGCUCACCAAGGCAACGAUGCGUAGCCGACCUGAGAGGGUGAUCGGCCAAACUGGGACUGAGACACGGCCCAGACUCCUACGGGAGGCAGCAGUAGGGAAUCUUCCGCAAUGGACGAAAGUCUGACGGAGCAACGCCGCGUGAGUGAUGAAGGCUUUCGGGUCGUAAAACUCUGUUGUUAGGGAAGAACAAGUGCUAGUUGAAUAAGCUGGCACCUUGACGGUACCUAACCAGAAAGCCACGGCUAACUACGUGCCAGCAGCCGCCGUAA
rnacentral:rRNA from 1 species